rnacentral:rRNA from 1 species
AGAGUUUGAUCAUGGCUCAGAACGUACGCUGGCGGCACGCCUAACACAUGCAAGUCGAACGAAGUAGCAAUACUUAGUGGCAGACGGGUGAGUAACAUGUAGGUAUCUGCCCUUUGGCCUGGAAUAACACGAGGAAACUUGUGCUAAUACCGGAUAAGUCUUUACAGAGAAAGCUUUAUGCACCAUUGGAUGAGCCUGCACUUGAUUAGUUUGUUGGUGGGGUAAUGGCCUACCAAGACUGUGAUCAAUAGCUGAUUUGAGAGGAUGAUCAGCCACAUUGGGACUGAGACACGGCCCAAACUCCUACGGGAGGCAGCAGUGGGGAAUCUUGCACAAUGGAGGAAACUCUGAUGCAGCGAUGCCGCGUGAGUGAAGAAGGCCCUUGGGUUGUAAAGCUCUUUCGUCGGGGAAGAAAAUGACUGUACCCGAAUAAGAAGGUCCGGCUAACUUCGUGCCAGCAGCCGCGGUAAUACGAAGGGACCUAGCGUAGUUCGGAAUUACUGGGCUUAAAGAGUUCGUAGGUGGUUGAAAAAGUUAGUGGUGAAAUCCCAGAGCUUAACUCUGGAACUGCCAUUAAAACUUUUCAGCUAGAGUAUGAUAGAGGAAAGCAGAAUUUCUAGUGUAGAGGUGAAAUUCGUAGAUAUUAGAAAGAAUACCAAUUGCGAAGGCAGCUUUCUGGAUCAUUACUGACACUGAGGAACGAAAGCAUGGGUAGCGAAGAGGAUUAGAUACCCUCGUAGUCCAUGCCGUAAACGAUGUGUGUUAGACGUUGGAAAUUUAUUUUCAGUGUCGCAGGGAAACCGAUAAACACACCGCCUGGGGAGUACGACCGCAAGGUUAAAACUCAAAUGAAUUGACGGGGACCCGCACAAGUAGUGGAGCAUGUGGUUUAAUUCGAAGAUACGCGCAGAACCUUACCAACACUUGACAUGUUCGUCGCGACUCUAAGAGAUUAGAGUUUUCGGUUCGGCCGGACGAAACACAGGUGCUGCAUGGCUGUCGUCAGCUCGUGUCGUGAGAUGUUGGGUUAAGUCCCGCAACGAGCGCAACCCUCACUUUUAGUUGCCAUCAUUAAGUUGGGCACUCUGAAAGAACUGCCAGUGAUAAGCUGGAGGAAGGUGGGGAUGACGUCAAGUCCUCAUGGCCCUUACGUGUUGGGCUACACACGUGCUACAAUGGUAUCUACAACAGGAAGCAAGACUGCGAAGUUAAGCAAAUCCCUAAAAGAUACCUCAGUUCGGAUUGCACUCUGCAACUCGAGUGCAUGAAGCUGGAAUUACUAGUAAUCGUGGAUCAGCGUGCCACGGUGAAUGCGUUCCCGGGUCUUGUACACACCGCCCGUCACACCAUGGGAGUUGGUUCUACCUUAAGGCAAGGUUUAAAACCCUUGACCACGGUAUAGUCAGCGACUGGGGUGAAGUCGUAACAAGGUAA